rnacentral:rRNA from 1 species
UACAGAGGUCUCGAGCGUUAGGCGGAAUCACUGGGCUUAAAGCGUGUGUAGGUGGAUGCCUAAGUACCUUGUGAAAUCCCCGGGCUUAACCCGGGAACUGCUUGGUAUACUGGGUGUCUUGAGCCAACUAGGGGCGACCGGAACAAACGGUGGAGCGGUGAAAUGCGUAGAUAUCGUUUGGAACGCCAAUGGUGAAAACAGGUCGCUGGGGUUGUGCUGACGCUGAGACACGAAAGCCAGGGGAGCGAACGGG